rnacentral:sRNA from 1 species
GACCGCUGCUUUGAGCAGCUAAGGCCACACGGACAGCCGGGUCGAAUGCCGA